rnacentral:rRNA from 1 species
UACGGAGCGGCAGACGGGAGAGUAACACGUGGGAACGUGCCCUUCAGUUCGGAACAACCCAGGGAAACUUGGGCUAAUACCGGAUACGUCCGUAAGGAGAAAGAUUUAUCGCUGAAGGAUCGGCCCGCGUCUGAUUAGCUAGUUGGUGGGGUAAUGGCCCACCAAGGCGAUGAUCGGUAGCCGGCCUGAGAGGGCGCACGGCCACACUGGAACUGAAACACGGUCCAGACUCCUACGGGAGGCAGCAGUGGGGAAUUUUGCGCAAUGGGGGAAACCCUGACGCAGCAACGCCGCGUGGAGGAUGAAGUCCUUUGGGACGUAAACUCCUUUCGACCGGGACGAUGAUGACGGUACCGGUGGAAGAA